rnacentral:lncRNA from 1 species
GCCUCCAUCUGCCGUGGUGUCCAUGUGGCUAAAGAGCCGCUGGCAAGUGUCAUUGGUUUUCUAUAGAAUGGCGAACUCACUGAGACACAGCUGUGACUAGAACCCAUUCCUCUUUCCAUCACAACUGAUGAUCAGGAAAAAAUUGUGGUUCUGAGCAGAGGAGGGAAGCAUGAGGACACUUAGACAUCCGGUGGAGAUGGAGAUGGUCUCACGACCCGAGUGUCUUUGCCCCUAACCAAGAAGCUGUUUGCAGUUGACACCUGAAGGGAAGAAGCACAUCAGUCUUCUCUGGAGGAGCGCCAUUGAGCCUAUCAACCGCACUCAAGCACAGGCCCCAUGCCCAAGAGUAGUAGACCGACAUAAAGCCCACUAAAGAUAGACUGACCCAGCAGAUUCAAGACUGGAUCAAGACCUGUCUCGAAACAGUUGUGGGCCAAUUCAAUCAUCCUGUCUUCAAACUGACCAGCCCUAAUGUAGUGGAUGAAAAACUCUCUAGGGGCAAUAGAACCCCAGCCCUGAGGAAGAGACCAGACUUCCCGAGUGCCCCCUCAACUUUGCAGAGGGUCUUUUUUUCUGUGUGUCUGUUACGUGUGCAUUGUUUCCCCACAUCCAAUAAAUGCCUUCCUUCAACUGC